rnacentral:rRNA from 1 species
CCUACGGGUGGCAGCAGUGAGGAAUAUUGGUCAAUGAGCGCGAGCCUGAACCAGCCAAGUAGCGUGAAGGAUGACUGCCCUACGGGUUGUAAACUUCUUUUAUAAAGGAAUAAAGUGAGGCACGUGUGCCUUUUUGUAUGUACUUUAUGAAUAAGGAUCGGCUAACUCCGUGCCAGCAGCGGCGGUAAUACGGAGGAUCCGAGCGUUAUCCGGAUUGAUUGGGCUUAAAGGGAACGUAGAUGGGUUGUUAAGUCAGUUGUGAAAGUUUGCGGCUCAACCGUAAAAUUGCAAUUGAUACUGGCAGUCUUGAGUACAGUUGAGGUAGGCGGAAUUCGUGGUGUAGCGGUGAAAUGCUUAGAUAUCACGAAGAACCCCGAUUGCGAAGGCAGCUUACUAAACUGUGACUGACAUUGAUGCUCGAAAGUGUGGGUAUCAAACAGGAUUAGAUACCCCAGUAGUC